rnacentral:hammerhead_ribozyme from 1 species
GGACUGCUGAGGAGACGCAAAAUAGGACGAAACGGCCGUCCAGUGC